rnacentral:tRNA from 1 species
GCCGCGUUGGGAUAGUGGUCGUUCACCGGAUUGUCUCUCCGGCCUACACGGGUUCGAAUCCCGUACGUGGCG